AGAGUUCGGUGUUGUGCGCUCACGCUCAAAACCUCCACUGGAAGUGCACGACUCCAGACUAGU
ensembl:miRNA